UACAGCUUCUACCAGCUGCCAACAGCCUCUCUCAGCUCCCAGCAGCCUCCUUCUCCUUCUCCAGCUCUGCCUCCUAUGCUGCUGACAACAGUCCUCAGUUGCACUGAUGCCUGCAUCAUCUGAAAACAUUUACUCUUCGUAGUCAUUUUUACUUUGGGGAAGAACUAAAAGUUCGUGGUGCCACAUCC
rnacentral:lncRNA from 1 species